UCCACAGCUAGGGUGGAGCUGGGAG
rnacentral:misc_RNA from 1 species